CGGGCGGGUCCGGGCUCACGGCGGUGGGCAUCCGGCGGUGGUGGUCGCGGGCGUCUCGAGGGUUGGGGCUCGAGGAAGAGGGCACGCGGAAGAGGGGUCGGAAGGAGUGCGCAGCAGCCCGCUGGCUGCGGCGGUGGUCGCUGGUAGGUCCAAUGCGGUGGCAGGGGACGGAAGAGAGAAAGGAGAGAGAGAGAUUAGAGGAGUAGAGAGGAAGAGGGGUCCUCGAGUCGCGGUCGCGGUACCUACGGGUCAGGAGCUCGAGUGGAACCUCCAAGCUUGCGGCGGUGCCCUGGAGGUGGCCGGUCUAGGCCGCGGAGGGAGGGGCCUAAGCGCGCGGGAGGUGGAGGAGAUGGGCUAGACCGCGGGGUGGGUGGAGGGGUGGUGCGGGGCGCGCGGCGACCGGCGGAGGACGGGGUAGGGCGGAGUCACGCGCGGCGGCCCGCGGAAUACGGAGGGUUAGGGUAGAGGAGGAGUGGACGCCGAAGAAGCGGCAAGUGCCGAGGGCUUCGAGCUCGCCCGGCUAGAUGCGCAGCCACUGGAGCACCCUCCGUCUCCUACCCUACCACACGACACGAGCUCUUCUCACCCGAGCUGAUUCCCCUAACCUCCCACCGCAGCCGCCCGAGCGCCUGCCCCUACCUCUCCCGCCAACGAACGUUCUAGUUCCGACCCGUCCGGCCUUAACUAGAUUUUUUUGUCCUAGCACCGUCUAACAAUAGCGAUCGUUCCUGAGUGACUAGAGACUACACCGAGAGUUACCACUACGCUACGUUUUACCUGUUUAGGUAGUAGCAAUCAGACGACGACAACCGAAGAAGACUCGAUGAUUAUAGUCUAAUCGCGACUAAACCCCUCAUUUCGAGAAGCUCGUUCACUGUUUUUAGUUCAGAAGACUCGUAGAGUUUCUACCGCUGGACUUCAGCAAACUGACCGUCGAAUUUUCGUUAAUUUCACGUGUCUCUUUAGUUUGAAAAUUUCGGUGAGAACGGUAAACACCUGACAAGGACGAACAACCACUGACGAAAACGCUCAUACAAGUGAGAGUAGAUGAGGGA
rnacentral:rRNA from 1 species